rnacentral:rRNA from 1 species
CUGGUGAUCGGCGUGGCUCGGGCGUAGGUCCGCGCUUCGGCAAGGAUGAUGGCGCUAAGGUUGUCGGCGGCCCGUCUUGAAACCACGGACCAAGGAGUCUAACAUCUAUGCGAGUGUUCGGGUGUCAAACCCCUACGCGUAAUGAAAGUGAACGGAGGUGGGACACCGCAAGGUGCACCAUCGACCGAUCCUGAUGUCCUCGGAUGGAUUUGAGUAAGAGCAUAGCUGUUGGGACCCGAAAGAUGGUGACUAUGCCUGAGCCAGAGGAAACUCUGGUGAGGCUCGCAG